CUGGUUGAUCCUGCCAGUAGUCAUAUGCUUGUCUCAAGGACUAAGCCAUGCAAAUCUUAGAAUAACCGUGUCUUGAUACGGUAAGUCUGUGUACGGCUCAUUAAACGGUUUAUAGUCUCCCCAACAAAGAGGGCAGUCAUGCCUUCCUAUGGGAUAUCUUUGCGAAACGCAAAGCUAAUACCUGUAAGAAAAAUCGCUUGCUAUCAAACACCUAGGGGCAACCCGAAGGUGUGGCGGGCGAUGUGAUUGGCCGAAACAAAAAUAGACGCUCGAACAGAGCAGCUGUAAUUGUUGACGCAGGCCAAAGUCGCGAAAGCACAAUUUUGUGCGAUGUUGGACGAAUUUACCACCUAUCAGGUAUUGAAGGUAGUGUAGUGGACUACCUUGCCUCUGACGGGUAACGGGGGAUUGGGGUUCGAUUCCGGAGAGGGUGCCUGAGAGACGGCAACCAUGACUAUGGUCAGCAGCAGGCGCGCAAAUUGCCCAAUGCCAACAAAUGGCGAGGCAGCGACGAAAAAUCACAGUCCCCUAGGGGAUCUGCAAUGGACUGUACCCAAACAAACUGAUGAAUACUAUUGGAGGGCAAGYCUGGU
rnacentral:rRNA from 1 species